GACGAACGCUGGCGGCGUGCUUAACACAUGCAAGUCGAACGGAAAGGCCCUGCUUUUGUGGGGUGCUCGAGUGGCGAACUGGUGAGUAACACGUGAGUAACCUGCCCCUGACUUUGGGAUAACUUCAUGCAACUGGAUCUAAUACCGGAUAGGAUCUCCUGCUGCAUGGUGGGGGUUGGAAAGUUUCGGCGGUUGGUGAUGGACUCGCGUCUUGUCAGCUUGUUGGUGGGGUAGUGUCUUACCAAGGCUUUGACGGGUAGCCGGGCUGCGCGGGGGAGCUGACCAGUCAGGCUGGAGAUGAGGCACAGCCUAGUAUGGUACGCAGGGGUGGAGAAUAGUGUACUAUAGGCGGAACCAUGACGUAGCAACGCAGUGCGGGGUAUGAGGGCAUUGGGUUUGGAUUCCGCUUUCGCUUGUCACGAGGCGUGAGUGACGGUAAUGGGUGAAUAAGCACCGGCUAACUCCGUG
rnacentral:rRNA from 1 species